rnacentral:rRNA from 1 species
AGUGAACGCUGGCGGUAGGCCUAACACAUGCAAGUCGAACGGCAGCACAGUAAGAGCUUGCUCUUACGGGUGGCGAGUGGCGGACGGGUGAGGAAUACAUCGGCAUCUACUUUUUCGUGGGUGAUAACGUAGGGAAACUUACGCUAAUACCGCAUACGACCUACGGGUGAAAGCAGGGGAUCUUCGCACCUUGCGCGAUUGAAUGAGCCGAUGUCGGAUUGGGUAGUUGGCGGGGUAAAGGCCCACCAGGGCGACGAUCCGUAGCUGGUCUGAGAGGAUGAUCACCAACACGGGACUUAGGACCGGGUCCGGACUCCUAGGGAGGGCAGCAGUGGGGAAUAUUGGACAAUGGGGGCAAGCCUGAUCCAGCCAUACGGGGUGGGUGAAGAAGGCCUUCGGGUUGUAAAGCCCUUUUGUUGGGAAAGAAAAGCAGCAGGUUAAUACCCCGCUGUUCUGACGGUACCCAAAGAAUAAGCACCGGCUAACUUCGU